rnacentral:ncRNA from 1 species
UGGUAGAGGUGCGGAAUUCAAGAGUAGCUGCCGUAAUGGCCCGGAAAGGCCGGCAUGCGAAAGGGGGUUCUGCCGAAGGUUUUACAGGGUUUCCGUCCUGCCUAACCUGGGGUUCAGCGAAAUACGUUGUUCACUGUCGCAUAAUGCGGAGCGCUACUAU